UACGUAGGGGGCAAGGCGUUGUCCGGAAUUAUUGGCGUAAAGAGCUCGUAGGCGGUCUGUCGCGUCUGCUGUGAAAACCCGAGGCUCAACCUCGGGCCUGCAGUGGGUACGGGCAGACUAGAGUGCGGUAGGGGGAGAUUGGAAUUCCUGGUGUAGCGGUGGAAUGCGCAGAUAUCAGGAGGAACACCGAUGGCGAAGGCAGAUCUCUGGGCCGUAACUGACGCUGAGGAGCGAAAGCGUGGGGAGCGAACAGG
rnacentral:rRNA from 1 species